rnacentral:rRNA from 1 species
GUGGGGAAUCUUCCACAAUGGGGGCAACCCUGAUGGAGCAACACCGCGUGCUGGAUGAAGGCCUUCGGGUCGUAAACAGCUUUUGUAUACGAAGAAUAUGACGGUAAUAUACGAAUAAGGGUCGGCUAACUACGUGCCAGCAGCCGCGGUCAUACGUAGGACCCAAGCGUUAUCCGGAGUGACUGGGCGUAAAGAGUUGCGUAGGCGGCUUAUUAAGCGAGUAGUGAAAUCUGGUGGCUCAACCAUCAACACAUUGCUCGAACUGAUAGGCUUGAGAAUGGUAGAGGUAGUUGGAAUUUCUUGUGUAGGAGUGAAAUCCGUAGAUAUAAGAAGGAACACCAAUGGCGUAGGCAGACUACUGGACCAUUUCUGACGCUGAGGCACGAAAGCGUGGGGAGCGAACCGGAUUAGAUACCCUGGUAGUCC